rnacentral:rRNA from 1 species
CAGCGGAGGGAUCAUUACAGAGUUAUACAACUCCCACACCAUCUGUCAACCUACCUAGCUAUGCCUCGGCGAGAGCUUGGUCGGGGGCGGUCCGGCGCUGCCCCGCGGCGCCGGCCGCGCUACCCCGCCCCCGCCCGCCGGCGGUCCACUAAACUAUGUUUUAUUUUGCCUUCUGAGCGUCUUAUUUUAAUAAGUUAAAACUUUCAACAACGGAUCUCUUGGUUCUGGCAUCGAUGAAGAACGCAGCGAAAUGCGAUAAGUAAUGUGAAUUGCAGAAUUCAGUGAAUCAUCGAAUCUUUGAACGCACAUUGCGCCCAUCAGUAUUCUGGUGGGCAUGCCUGUUCGAGCGUCAUUUCAACCCUUAAGCCUAGCUUAGUGUUGGGAAUCUACCGUACCGUAGUUCCUCAAAGACAGUGGCGGAGCGGCAGUGGUCCUCUGAGCGUAGUAAUCUAUUUCUCGCUUUUGUCAGGCCCUGUCCUCCCGCCGUAAAACCCCCUUCUUUUAGUGGUUGACCUCGGAUCAG